rnacentral:rRNA from 1 species
UUGAACGCUGGCGGCAUGCCUUACACAUGCAAGUCGCACGGCAGCACGGGUGCUUGCACCUGGUGGCGAGUGGCGAACGGGUGAGUAAUACAUCGGAACAUGUCCUGUAGUGGGGGAUAGCCCGGCGAAAGCCGGAUUAAUACCGCAUACGAUCUACGGAUGAAAGCGGGGGACCUUCGGGCCUCGCGCUAUAGGGUUGGCCGAUGGCUGAUUAGCUAGUUGGUGGGGUAAAGGCCUACCAAGGCGACGAUCAGUAGCUGGUCUGAGAGGACGACCAGCCACACUGGGACUGAGACACGGCCCAGACACCUACGGGAGGCAGCAGUGGGGAAUUUUGGACAAUGGGCGAAAGCCUGAUCCAGCAAUGCCGCGUGUGUGAAGAAGGCCUUCGGGUUGUAAAGCACUUUUGUCCGGAAAGAAAUCCUUGGCCCUAAUACGGUCGGGGGAUGACGGUACCGGAAGAAUAAGCACCGGCUAACUACGUG